rnacentral:rRNA from 1 species
UACGUAGGGGGGCGAGCGUUGUCCGGAAUCAUUGGGCGUAAAGAGCGUGUAGGCGGCCCGGUCAGUCUGGUGUGAAAUCUUGAGGCUCAACCUCAAGCUGUCAUCGGAUACUGCCGGGCUAGAAUCCGGAAGAGGAGAGUGGAAUUCCUGGUGUAGCGGUGGAAUGCGCAGAUAUCAGGAGGAACACCGAUGGCGAAGGCAGGUCUCUGGGCAUUAACUGACGCUGAGGAGCGAAAGCAUGGGGAGCGAACAGG